CACCGCGCAGUUGUGCCAUGUUGGGCUGGGGAUCUUACCUCCCCUGCCCAUCCGGGCUGGCCCGUCCUCUGAUCUCCCCUGUUUGCCCCCACUCACUCAGAUGCCUCGUAUGACCACCUUCCUCCCCUUCUUCAUGUUGGCCGGUUCACCUGAUCCCAGUCCAAGCUUUCCAGACUUGGGUGAAAUUGCAGGAGGAUUGGUGGGAGGGGCCAUGGGAGCUGCUUUCCGGACAAAUUAUCUUCUGAGAACUGCCAGGUGCAUUUUCUUCUUGCAGUGGAGAAAUUCUGUGUUGCAAACAAAAAUGGUCACUGAGGAAUCUGGUGUGCGUGUGCAACAAUGCUUGCCAUUGGGUGGCUUUACAGCUUCUCUUGCCUCACACCUCUCAGUUCUCCCUCUCACUGCCCUAAACCUGCAUCUUCCAAAUAAAUUGUGAGCGCUUUCAUCUU